rnacentral:rRNA from 1 species
GGAGGGUGCAAGCGUUAUCCGGAUUUAUUGGGGUUUAAAGGGUACGUAGGCGGCGAAGUCAGUCAGUGGUGAAAGCCAACAGCUUAACUGUUGAACUGCCAUUGAUACUGCUUUGCUUGAGUACAGUCGAAGUAGGUGGAAUUCCACAUGUAGUGGUGAAAUGCAUAGAUAUGUGGAGGAACGCCAAUAACGAAGGUAGCUUACUAGGCUGUUACUGACGCUGAGGUACGAAAGCGUGGGGAGCAAACGGGAUUAGAGACCCCGGUAGUCCACGCCGUAAACGAUGGUCACUCGAUGUAUAUCUCUUUGAUAUGCGUCCUAGCGAAAGCGUUAAGUGACCCACCUGGGGAGUACGCUCGCAAAGAGUG